rnacentral:rRNA from 1 species
UACGUAGGGUGCGAGCGUUAAUCGGAAUUACUGGGCGUAAAGCGUGCGCAGGCGGUUUCGUAAGCCAGACGUGAAAUCCCCGGGCUUAACCUGGGAACUGCGUUUGGGACUGCGAGGCUGGAGUACGGAAGGGGCAACCGGAAUUCCCAGUGUAGCGGUGAAAUGCGUAGAUAUCAGGAGGAACACCUGUGGCGAAGGCGGCUUCCUGGCCAUAUCCUGACGCUGAGGUGCGAAAGCUAGGGGAGCGAAC